AAAAUUGCUUCUAUGCCAACAUAAAAUUUGGGUGGUUUUGAUGGCUUUCCUUUUAUUGCUCUUAUUUGGAGAACACAGGAAGACAUUUGGACUGAGGAGCUACAGUGUGCUGUGCAAGCCCCCCACUUCUCCUUGGAAGUUUGAGCAGGAGGUCUCUUCACUGUGUGACGCAGGCAUGGCCAUCAUGCACAGCCACCCGCAGAAGAGUGUUGUCCUGAUGGUCGUGAGUUGGAGACUUGUUCACCCCCUCAGUUUGAUGUAUGACAGCCACUCUGAGAGCCCCAUAGAGCCGACUGAAGAUGGCUGACUCAAGGCCCUCGGGUAAGACAGUCCAGACACAGUACUUUGAAAUUUUCAUAAUUCAAUUGUAUCCAAAAUUAACACAUGUGGUACAGCUGUCUGUGAAAGGUCUUGUAGCUCCCCACAACUUCCAAGGAGGGCUCCCUGGCAAGUGACAGUGGAAAAGCAUGGGUCAGCAGAUGUGUGAGUCAUUUUGUGCUCAUAAAACUAGCCCAAAAUAGCAACUGCAAACAGCCAAGCAAAUCAAAGCAAAAGAAAGAAGCACACAGAGGGGGUCAGGAUAACUGACCCUAAGGGAGACCAUUGUAAGAUGUAUUCAAGAGGCUAGUGCUGAAAUCCAAUAUACUGUGUGCAAAUAUUCACUCAGCAAACUCGAAUACAUUCUUGCUGAUUAAAAACAUGUUAAGAAUUUUUAAAAAACAAUAGAGAGGCUAGAUGAUCACAGUGAGGAAAUAUUCAAACAGGCAACCUAGAAUCAGGAAUGAAAAUAAGAGAAAAAGUGAUAUAGAAGAUUGGACACUGAACAAUAUUAGUAGUAGAAAAUAGAAGAAAGAAAUUAUUAAUGCUAUCAUUGAAAGAGUUUACAACUGAAAUUCAACUAUUACAACAUUAAAAGGGUUCUGAGACCAUGGCAAGGUGGUGAAUAUAUUUCACUUUUCAAAAUAUGCAAGAAAAGUGGGCUGGGGAUGUGGCUUAAAUUGUAGCGUGCUUGCCUAGCAUGCAUGAGGUGAUUAUCAGCACCACAUAAAAAAAAUAAAUAAAUAUAUUAGGGGCUGGGGUUGUGGCUCACAGGUAGAGCACUCACCUACCAUGUGUGAGUCACCUGGUUCAAUCCUCAGCAGCACAUGAAAAUAAAAUAAAGAUAUUGUGUCCACCUAUAACUAAAAAAUAUUUUUAAAUAUGCAAGAAAAGCAAUAUCUAUAUAAGCUUCCGAAGAGCCUAAAAGCACCAGAAAUACAAUGGCUUUCUGUUUCUCACCAAUAAACUGUAAGGCACAGGGAAUUUUCAAAGUGGAAUAUUGUAGCUAACCUGAAUGUUGUUUACACAGAAGCUAAAUUUAUGUCUGUAGAACAUUUUUAAAAAUUUAUUUAUUUAUUCUACUUUGUUAUAUGUGACAGCAAAAUGUAUUUCAAUUCCUAGUCCACAUAUAGAGCACAAUUUUUCAUGACUGUGGUGGUACACAAAGUAGAGUCACACCAUUUGUGUCUUUAUACAUGUCCUUAGGGUAAUGAUACCCAUCUCAAUUCACCAUCUUUUCUACCCCCUGCCCCUUCUCUUUCCCUUCAUUUCCUCUGCCUUAUCUAAAGUUCUUCCAUUUCUCCCAUGUUCCCCCAUCCCCAUUAUGGAUCAGCCUCCUCAUAGGAGAGAAAAGAUCUGGCAUUUGUUUCCUUAGGAUUGGCUCACUUCACAGAGCAUAAUAUUCUUCAACUGCAUCCAUUCACCUGAAAAUUUGCAAAUGUCAUGAUUUUAUUAUCUUUUUAUGCUGAAUUUUAUAUAUAUAUAUAUAUAUAUAUAUAUAUAUAUAUAUAUAUAUAUAAUCGCAGUUUUUUAACCCAUUCACCUACUGAAGAACAUCUAGGUUGGUUUCACAAAUUAGCUAUUAUAAAUUUUGCUGCUAUAAACAUUGAUGUGGCUGUGUGUCUCUAAUGACUUUAAGUCCUUUGGGUAAAAACCGAGGAGAGGGACAGCUGGUCAUAUGGUGGUUCCACUCUGAGGUUACCAAGGAAUCUCCAUAUAGCUUUCCGUAUUGGUGGCACCAAUCUGCCGUCCCACUAGCAAUACAUGUGGGCACCUUUUUCCCCUUGAUAGACCCAGCCUGAUUUUCUCUUAAAUUGGGAGCCAUCUCACUACAAAGCCAUGAAAAGCUAAUUUCAGAUUUACUGUAAAUUACUGCAAAUUCUGAACUGCUUGGAAUGCCUGCCCAUGCCUUGAACUCACCCAUGCCUGGCUCUCUGACCAGAUAGCAGCCCUCUCUGAAACUCUAGUGAUGCCUCAUAAAUCCUGGCCUUCCCUCACCAAUUAAUGACCCCCUCCGAGGCUCUAAUGACCUUCAUAAAUUCUGAUAUCAAGGCCUGCAAAAAUUUAAACUAGUCUUUGUGUUCUGCUCAUCCGAGUUUUGUUAUCUGUAACCCCCUUUGUGUAACUUUUUGGGCUAUAAAGCUGCGCUGCAAAAAAUCUGGGGCUGUCUUGUUCCCACAGUUUUGGGUGGGAGAGGCAGCCCAGCCAGUCAAAAUAAUAACCUUGCUUUAAUUUGAUUUUAAUUGGAGCCAGUGGUCUUUUCUUGCAUCCUGGUCUACCACCCUCCCCUGUGCCACACUCACUAUUGUUUGUGUUCCUAGAAGCUGCCAUUGUCCCUGGAGUGAAAGAGGAAUUUUGAUCUCUAAGAAUCUUUUUAAAAUAAGUUGUGUUUCUCCAAAAAGAGAAUAGUGAAGGAGGAAGGUGAGAGCUGAAGGGACACAGGUCGACCAGAAGCUGGGCAGGGCUGGGAGCUGGGGGGCUGUGCCUGUGGCUGGAGGGCACCAGGGCAGAGCAGGCUGAGCAGACAGACGUCAGUCAUGGCUGGGGUACAUCCUGAUGGGUGGCUUUUCCUGUCUGAGGUGUAGAUCCUCAGGCAGUAGCUGCUCUCUGGAUGUCACACUCUCAGGUCUCAUUGUAGUGAAUGUGUCUGUGUGGGAUCUAAUUGGAGGCCACCUUCUCUCUGCUCUGGAGAGGACAGAACAGUUUAUUCCCACCCACACAUGGGCCACCGCCCUUGGUGCUGUUCACCUCCUGAGGACACCUGGCUGAGUCCUGCUGUUGUCCUCAGUCAUCUCUCUGUGAUCCUUGUCCCUCCACAGGAGCAACUCUGUAGAACAGGCACUUUCUGACCCUGCUCUUCCAUCCAGAGGGCGCCUGAGCCUGCCAAGGGUGAGGGGUCUGCCAUGUUUUGGGGACAAGUGGUCCAGCUUGACCUGCCUUUCAUCCUUGACCUCUGCAUAGACCCUUGGGAGACCCGUGUCCUCAUGCCUGAUUCGGAGCCCUGGUUCUACGAUGUGGUGUACAGAGUCUAGCAGGCUCGUAGUUCACACCCAGCCCAUGGCUGGCUUGCCACAUCUCCAUAUGCUUAUCACUCAAAGCUAAGGGACCCUCAGUUCCAAUGUGGCAGCUCCAGACACACUCAGGUCAUUGCACUGGUCAGAGGGCUGGUGCAUCACUGUAUUAGUCUUCCUGGGCUGCUGUAACAAAACAUCCAGCCUGGGGGCCUUACAGACCACAGGCCCUGACUGCUCAUUGAUGACCUCAGGCCACUACUCAAGCCAACUCCACCUCUGCCUGAUGGCCAAAGCCAUCUCCAGCCAGUGGAUCUUGGGAUAAGGAAAGAGAUGGCAGCUGGCCAUUGCUAGGAGCCCUGCUUCCUUCCCAUCACCCAUGCUGUGUGGAACAGAAAGACAGUACAGGGCCAGCUGUGUCCCUUGUCGCCAGGCCCCCUUGUCACCUCUGAGUUCUUCAGCAUCCUCUGGGCUGGGUCACAUUCUUAAGACCCAGCCACACCAUUGACUUUGUAGCCCAAGUCCUCACAGAGGCUCCAUGUUCUUCAGUGUCAAGCUUUCAAUUCUGCAGGUAUAUCAACAAAAUUAUUACUUUAAUUAUUAUUAUUACUAUUGGUACUAGGGAUUCAACCUGGGGUGCUUAACCACUGAACUACAUCCCUAAUCCUUUUUUUAUAUUUUAUUUUGACACAGACUCUCUCUAAGUUGCUUAGGGACUUUCUGAGUUGCUGAGGCUGGUUUCCAACUAGCAAUCCUCCUGCUUCAGCCUCCCAAGUCACAGAAUUACAGGUGUGUGCCACAUCAAAAUUAUUAUUGACACAGGCACAUUAACAUAGGUUCGAAAUUAUAAUGUAGAGAUUAUCUAUUAUUACAUUAUAAUCGUACCAUUAUUAUUAAAUAAUGAAAUUCUAUGUUAUAUACUCUAUUUAACAUUCUAUGGGUAUUCCCUAUCUGGAGCAAUGAGACACAGCAGAAUCAGGAUCCACCCAGCUGCCUCUACCCCCACAGCCUCCCUCAAACUCUGCUCCCCAGGAAGCCAAAUCCCAUGGCCCUAGACCGUUUCUAACCCAUGAUCAUGCUCAGUCUGGUUGAUAAUCUGCCUAGCAGUACCCAACUUGCUUGCUUCCUGUGUUCUUAGAGAUCUCUGCUCCCAGGACGGAAGGUCUCCUCAAAAAACAUAGUGUUAUCUGCUAUGGUGUGGCAUGCCCGUAAUCCAAGUGGCUUGGGAGACUGAGGAAAGAGGGUUGCAAUUUGGGGGCCAGUCUCAGCAAUGUAGUGAGGGCCUAAGCAAUUGGGCAAGACCCUGUAUGUAAGAUAUAAAAAAGGGUGGGGUAUAUGGCUCAGUGGUUAGGCACACUGGGUUCAAACUACAGUACCAAAAAAGAAAAAUAAAAUGAAGAUAAAACAACCUACUAGGCUACUAAGCUAGGAUACUCUUGGCUGAUGAAUUGAGCAUUGGGGAUGUUGGUUGCUAUGGGAAUGAUACACUGAAAUACAGUGCAGUUUUGUGGAUGGGGUGAUGCUGUGUGUCUAGUUAUUGGAAACAUUUAUUUAAAAUCGACCAGUGCAAGUAAAAUUUCUUAGUGCUGCAGAACUCAGCUCCAGAAAUGAUAAUUUCCCAGCUGUAAAGCUAUGGUCUUAGCCCUCUCAAACAAAUUGAGAUGAUACUGAGUUUGUAAGGGUUUUCCUGAGGCUGAUGUAGUAAAUAACCAAAAACAAAGAGACUGAAAUCAAAAGUGAUCCAGGAACCACCCCCCUCCCCCAGCCCUGGAGGGCAAAGGACUGAGACCAGUGGUCACAAGGAUGAGCUCCCUCCACAGGAUGCAGGGUCGAUCCUGCCUGUCUCUCCCAGCUCCUGGGGCUCCAGGUGGCCCCAUAAUUUCAGUCUCUGCCUCUGUCUCUAUGUGGCUCCAUCUCUGUGUCUUUGUCCUCUCUUCUGUCUCUUGUGAGGACACUGCCAUUGCAUAAGGGCUACCUGACCCAGAAAAAAAAACCCAUCUCAGGAUCUUUCAUUAACUACCUCUGCAGAGACCCUGUUUCCACACAAGAUCCCACUCAGAGGUUCUAAGGGCCAGAUGUGGACAGGACCCACCUCUUACAAUGGUGUCCUGCUCCCUCCACAGGCUCCAGGGAACAUCCUUCCUGCCUCUCCCAGCUCCUGGGGCUCCAGGUGGCCCUUGGCAGAACAAUAUGGUGGCCUCUCAAAAGCUUAGGGUUGAAUCACAAUAUGACCCAGCAAUGCCACUGGUGGGGUCGGACCCAAAGGAUUUGAAAGCUAUUGGUCCAAAAGACACUUGCAUAUCCUGUGUUCACAGAAACCCUGAUCCCCAGUAUAACUGGGGACUAGGGAAAAAAUUAUGUCUUGGUGGGGUAUGGGGGAGACAGGGCCAAAAUGGGGGCAAAAGAGAUGGUCUGAGUGGGGGACUUUGAAGGCCAGAGGAUCUUAGAGAGUGUGGGGAAUUUUCUUAUUUUGGCUAAACUGUGUACAUGAUGUCAUACAGGCUUGUAAAAUUGUACUCUUUUCUGAGCCCUUUAUUCUUAGGAGCAAAUCACUAACUUUACUCAAAUCCAUCAGCAUGCAUCUGUCUAUAUAUCUAUCCAUCUGUCUAUGUACCAGCCAUCCCUCCGUCCACCCAUCUGCCCAUUUUCUCUCCCAUGCAUCAUGGAUUUGUGUAUUUACCCACCCAUAUACCCAUUCAUCCAGCCAUCCAUUCAGACAUACAUACAUCUUCCCAUCCAUGCAUCUUCCCACCCAUUCACCCAUACUUCCAUUCAUCCAGGGGCAACUGGCCACUUCACCACAUCCCCAGCCCUGUUUUGUAUAUUAUUUAGAGUCAAGAUCUCACUGAGUUGCUUAACACCCUAUUUUGGCUGAUGCUGCCUGACCAAGCAAUCCUCCUGACUCAACCUCCUGAGAGGCUGGAAUUACAGUCCUGCACCACCAUGCUUGUACUUCUUAUUUCCUCAUUGGUAUCAUAACAGCUUGGAGUCACUAUCUGGGGUUAUUUUCUAAGAUCCAUCACAGUUAUGCUCCCACCCAUUGUUUGAACCACAAUAAAAAGGGGGGCUGGGGAUGUAGCUCAGUGCUAAAGUGCCCCCACCCUCAAUUCAAUCUCUACAUGGGGGACAAUAUAAGCACCUGGGAUUCAAUUCUCAGCUCUAGGAAGCUAUGUGCCCAUGUUUCCACACUUUUUACACAAGAGCCCCCCUUGUCCAUGGGCAAUAUUGUUAGGUAGAAUGAAUGUGAGACACUGUGCAGGAUGUGAAAGGCUUCACAAAGUCCAACUUAAGAGAAGAGAAUAAAAUUGUAUUUACUUUCCAUUAUGGGAGUUAAUAUGACAGGCUGUAUUGGCCCCAAGUGGCAAAUUUUUAUGUUUUAUAUGCGGGCUUUCUGGCAGAGCUGAGCAGGGUUAUUAUUUCUUUCUUUUUUAACUAUCAGUUGAAACCCAGGAAGCUGAGAGUGCUGGGUCAGCUUCUGGGGGUACGUUGCUUCCUAGGCAGGAUGCAGAUGGGCUUGUGGAUUUUUGGAAAAAGUUGGUGCAUCUGAAACCUUGAUAUGGAAAGAGUAGAAAGGAGGGGGACUUUAUACUGAGAGAAAAUAAUGAGGUCAGUUUGUGCAAUAGAAUGACAUGUUUCAAGGAGGCAAAUGAGCUUGAACUCACAGACAUGUUAUGAGACUACAGAUGCCUGAAGCCUAACCUAAUAAAAUUUUAUAUAUUAUGGUAUUAUUUGCAUAUCACCUAUUGCAAUGAUAAUACAAUAUUAUUCUUAUGCAAUAAAUAUUAACUCCUACAUACAAUUUCCCCUGUACAUACAUGGCAAUGUUUUCCCUUUCUGGAAAAUCUCAAAGCCCUUGUCAGCACCUGAACACAGGGUAAGGACAUGGUUUCCUUGUCUCCCUGGUGUAGCUGCACUGGUAAAAUUUCUUUCCUGCUUUCAAUCAACACCUUUUCUUUUUGCUUUUAGGGCAAACAGCUGACCAGACUUCUCGAAUCAGCAGAAUGAGUCUGUACAUAAGAAUUGAUAAUAGUAGAAUGUAGACUAUCUACAUUGAGCACAAGGCGCCCAUUUUAUUUCCACUGCACAUUGCUGUUUUAGAGGGUUGGUUACCUCCCCCCACCCCACCCCUUUCUCCGCUGGGGAUGGAACACUGAGCCACAGCUCAAACCCCAAAUGUUUCCUUUUAUAGCUCAGGCUGCCUCCUCAAAGAUCAGAGGCCAAGAGGUAAUUAGAAUUACUAAAAUAAUUUUCAAAUUUUUUUCAUUAGUAUUAUAUCAUUUUAUAUAUAUAUAUAUAUAUAAAUGAUAUAAUAUAUAUAUAUAUAUAUAUAUAUAUAUAUAUAUAAAUGAUAUAAUAUAUAUAUAUAUAUAUAUAUAUAUAUAUAUCUUUAAAAAGUGUUUCAAAAAUUUGGAGACAGUGUCUUUGUGUGUGUGUGUGUAUAUAUAUAUAUAUAUAUAUAUAUAUAUAUAUAUAUAUAUAUAUAUAUCUACCUACCUAGAAGACUCAAAAAGCCUCACCAGAAAACUUCUAGUAAAUGAAUUCAGCAAAGUAGCAGGAAUAGAAUCAUAUCAUCAGCAAACAGAGCUAAUUUAAGUUCUUCUUUUCCUAUACAUAUCCCUCUGAUUUCUUUCGUCUAAUUGCUCUGUUAAGUGUUUCAAGAACUAUGUUGAAUAGAAGUGGUGAAAAGUGCAUUCCUGUCUUGUUCCUGUUUUUAGUGGGAAUGCCUUGAAUUUUUCUUUAUUUAGAAUGAUGUUGGCCUUAGGCUUAGUUCAGAUAGCAUUUACAAAGUUGAGAUAUGUUCCUGUUAUUUCUAGUUUUUUUUUUUUCCUAGUGUUUUGAACAUAAAGUGAUGCUGUAUUUUGUCAAAUGCUUUUUCUGCAUCUAUUGAGAUGGUCAUAUGAUUCUUAUCUUUAAGUCUAUUUGUCGGGGUUUUUAGUAUCAUUCCCUCCUGACCUCAGGAGAGAUGGGGAGAGCACGCCCCGACCAGGACGAGCCAAGAAAUAGACGGCCGACUGACCGCCUGCACCCAGCCCUCCCUCGCCAGAGGACAAUCAGACACAUCAGGGAGACCAGUCCAAGCAGGAUCUCAUUUAAUGAGAAAACACACACACAGCUAAUAUAAUGUUCAGGAGCCAAUCAGGAUAAAGGUCAGCAGGGUGGGGAGAGUUCACAUGUACACCCAUCCUACAGGCAGUAAUGGGUGACACAAUCUGUCCAUGAGGUUAGAAGGUUCUGAGCCUAUCCUAGAGGUGGUCCAGUUUUUCGUCACAACCCAUGGUAAUGCCUUCUGGCUGAUUGGCAGGCACUAUCUUAGCCACAUGUGGACCAGGACUGGGAAGGGGGUAGCAGCCAGCAAGUUAAGUUUCCUCUUUUUUGAUGCAAUAUGCCCUACAUGUUACAUCAUGCCCUCAUCUCUUGUUGUGAUAAAUUACAUUUAUUGAUUUCUGUAUAUUGAACCAACCUUAAAUUCCUGGGCUGAAUCACACUUGAUUAUGGUGCACAGUCUUUUUGAUAUGUUUUUGUAUUUGAUUUGCCAGAAUUUCAUUGAGAAUUUUUGCAUCUAUGUUCAUUAGCGAUAUUGGUCUGAAGUUUUCUUUCUUUGAUGUGACUUUGCCUGUUUUGGGGAUCAGGGUGAUAUUGGCCUCAUAGAAUGAGUUUGGAAGUGCUGCCUUUUUUUCUAUUUCCUGAAAUAAAUUAAAGAGUGUUGGUAUUAGUUCUUCUUUAAAGGUCUUUUAGAAGUCGGCUGUGUAUUCAUCCAAUCCUGCGCCUUUCUUGGUUGAUAAGCUUUGUUUUCUAUUUUAUUACUUGAUAUUGGUCUGUUUCAAUUGUGUAUGUCUUCCUGAUUCAAUCUGGGCAGAUAGUAUGACUUAAGAAAUUUGUUGAUAACUUCAAUGUCUUCUAUUUUAUUGGAGUAUAAGAUUUCAAAAUAAUUUCAAAUUAUCCUGUAUUUCUGUCAUAUCUGUUGUGAUAUUACCAUUUUCGUCACAUAUACUGGUAACUUGAGUUCUCUCUCUCUCAUUCUCUAUGUUAGCAUGGCUAAGGGUCUGUCAGUUUUAUUUAUUUUUUCAAAGAACCAACUUUUUUUGUCCAUUUUGUCAUUUGUUUCUUUGUUUCAAUUUUAUAGAUUUUAGCUCUAAUUUUAAUUAUUUCUUGCCUUCUACUGCUUUUGCUGCUGGUUUGUUCUUCUUUUUCUAGGGCUUUGACAGGUAGUGUGAGGUCAUUAAUUUCAACUCUCUUUGAAGGAAUGAACUCCAUGCAAUGAAUUUUCCUCUUAGUACUGCUUUCAUAGUGUCUCAGAUUUCCAUAGGUUGUGUCUAUGUUCUUAUUUACCCAUGAGAAAUUUUUAAUCCUCUUCUUGAUUCAUUCUGCAAUGCAUUGUUCAUUCAGUAGCCUAUUGUUUAGUCUCCAGGUGAUGGAGAAAUUUUUAUUUUUUAUUUUGUUUUUGAUUCCCAAUUCCAUGUAAUUAUGAUCUGAUGAAAUGCAUGGUAGUGUCUCUACUUCUUUAUAUAUGCUAAGAGUUUCUCUGUGGCAUAUAUAUGGUCUAUUUUAGAGAAGGAUCCAUGUGCUACUGAGAAGAAGUGAAUCUGUUUGAUGCAGGUUGAAAUAUUCUCUGUGUGUCAGUUAAGUCUAAGUUAUUGAUUGUGUUAUUGAGUUUUAUAUUUUUUUUAUUCAACUUUUGUUUGGAAGAUCUGUCCAGUGGUAAUAGAGGUGCGUUAAAGUCACCCAAGAUUAUUGUGUUGUGGUCAAUUUGACUCUUGAACUUGAGAAGAGUUUGUUUGAACAAAGCUGCACCAUUGUUUGGGGCAUAUAUAUUUAUGAUUGUUACAUCUUGUUGGUGAGUGGUUCCCUUGAGCAGUAUGUAAUGUCCAUCUUUCUCCCUUUUCAUUCCCUUUGGCUUGAAGUCUACGUUAUUUGAUAUGAGUAUGAAAAUCCCUGUUCACUUGUGCAGUCCACAUAAGUGGUAUUGUUUUUCCCAACAUUUCACCCUCAGUCAGUGUAUGUAUUUUUCUAUCAGCCUCCUGGAGGCAGCAUCUUGUUGGCUCUUUUUUUUUUUUUUUUAAUCCAGUCUGUUGGCUUAUGUCUUGUGAUUGGUGUCUUUAAUCUAUUAGAAUUCAGGGUUAUUAUUGAGAUAUGGUUUGUAUUUCUGGCCAUAUUUGUUUAUUUUUGUUAUUUAACUUGACUUGGUUUUCUUCUUUGAUUAGUUUUUCCUUUGAGGUGCUACCUUUCUCUUCUGAUUUUCAUUGUUGUUUUUCUUUUCUUCUUCAUGGAAUAGAUUUCCAAGGAUGUUUUGUAGUGCUGGUUUUCUAGCUAUAAAUUCUUUUAACUUUUGUUUAUCAUGGAAGGAUUUUAUUUCAUCUUGAAAUCUAAAGCUUAAUUUUGCUGGAUACAGGAUUCUUGGUUGGAACCCAUUUUCUUUCAGCUUGAUAGAUGUUGUUUCAGGAUCUUCUAGUUUUUAGGGUCUGUGAUGAAAAAAAUCUGCCAUUAUCCUAAUUGAUUUUUACCUAUAUAUAAUCUGAUUCCUUUCUCUUGUGGUUUUUAAAAUUCUCUCCAUAUCCUGUAUGGUGAGCAUUUUCAUUAUUAUGUGCCUUGGUAUGGAUCUGUUUUGAUUUUUUACAUUCGGCAUCCUGUAGCCUCUUAAAUUUGGAUUUCCAAUUUAUUCUUUGUGUUUUGAAAGUUUUCUGAUAUUAUUUCAUUGAAUAGAUUCUUGAUUCCUUUGGUUUGGUCCUCUAUGCUUCCCUCUAUCCCAAUAACUCCUAAAUUUGGUCUUUUUAUGCUAUCCCAUAUUUUUUGAAUAUUCUGCUCCUGGUUCCUUACCAUUUUCACUCUGUGGUCUAUGUUCCUUUCAAGAUUAUAUAUUUUAUCUUCAUUGUCUGAUGUCCUAUCUUCCCAGUACUCUACUUUGUUCAUGAUGCUUUCAUUUGAGCUUUGAGUUUGGUUUAUUAUCUCAUUCAUUUCAAAGAUUUCUGUUUGUUUGUUUAUUUUAGAACCUCUAUCUCCCUGUUGAGGUGAUCUUUUGCUUCUUUGAUUUGUUUAUGUAGCUCAUUAUCGAAGUGAUCUCUUACUGCUUGUCUUUGCUCUCUUAUGUCUUCUUGGAGUUCACAGGACAUUUUAACCCCUGCAUCCUGAAAUCUUUCUGUGUCCAUUUUUCUGCUGUAGCUGCCAAUGUUUCUAAUGAAUUGUUGUCUUGAUUUGUUUUGGGCACUUUCUUCUCUUGUCUUUUCAUGUUGCUUGUGUGUCUUUCUUUCCAGCUCUGUGGUUCUCGGGUGUUAUUGUUUUUACCCUAUAGAUUUGUAGUGCUCUUUUAUGGUUGCAAGAUCCCUCCUUUGAGGGGAAGGACAAUGUUAAAAGAUCCCAAUAUCAACAAUACAUCAUGUAUGAACAAUUUGUUGUUAUUAGGACAUUUACAGUUUAGUCUCAAUGUCCAGAAAUGAUUCAAUUAUUAUUUAAAAUAUAAUCAGUAGUUUUUUAAAAAGGUUUACAGUUUCUGGCAUUGGACAAUGAACUGGCGUCUGGCAGGAUGAUAUGUGGGUCAGAGGGAGUUCCCAUUUGCCAGCCAUGCUCACCAAAUAUGGGGAGAAAAGUGAUACAAGAUGGAGCCAGUCUGCUUCCAGAGCCAGGGUGACCAGUGACGUAGGGAGAGCCUUGUGCUGUGGGUAGGUAGCAGCUGAGUAACCUGUGUGGGAAAGGGUGCAGCCUAGAGUUCUGCAGAGGGGCUGAGAGGUGUUUCCGCUUAGCCACUGAAGAGCUGUUUGUGGAUAGAGCUGUGGACUUUGGGCCUGGAGUCCAGAGUCUUACUCGAACACUGAGGCUCUGAAUUCUGCACUGGGCUUACAGCAUGGUGAUUUCUGUGAAAAUCCACUCUAUAGUGGACUUUCACACACUCUGAGAUCCUGUAUUCUGAUGAGGUGAGACCUGUGCCAUGGAACAACACAGGAUGCUGUCUGUCUCUGGCCCACCAUCUUGAAUUUCCCCCCUUCAGCUCUUGACAUGACAUGGUACCCUUUCAACUCUCAAGGCCUCUUUAAACAGCAGGGAAGAACUCAAACUGGAGAAAAGCCUUGUAUGUAGAAAUGUGGUAAAUCAUUCAGUUGUUUCAGAUCUAUUUAGAUUUGUUCAGAUUUGAGAGAAUAUUUAUUAUUAUUAUUAUUAUUAUUAUUAUUAUUAUUAUUAUUAUUAUUAUUAUUAUUUUAUUUUCAACUCAGAGGUGCUGAACCCCUGAGCCAUAUCCCAGUCUUUUUUUUAAUUUUAUUUUAUUUUUCAAAUUGUGAAUCAUGGUCUCACUUGGUUGCUUAGGUCCUAAGUUUCUGAGGUUGGCUUUGAACUUCUGAUCCUGCUGCCUCAGCCUAAUAUAGUCUUCACUGCCUUCAGCACCACCCUCUUUUGAGAAAAAAACUGUGGGUGUGUGAAAAGUGUAUAUGUCUUCAUUCUGGCUAUUCACAGAUGAUAAAAAUGCAUCCUAGAGUGGAUGUAAGGAUGGCAUCAGUGUGAAGAUGUAAAAGCAAGGUUAAAUCUCUGUUAUUGUUAGGUUCAACUUUUCUGUAUUUUAAGUUCUUUGCAUCUGUAGUCAAAUCUCACAUAUUAUGACAUAAUCUUAUAUAUACUGUGCAUUUUUGUGUGUGCAAAAAAGUUAGUUGCAUUAACUUUUAGUCGCAGCAUUUUAAUUCUUUUUUUGAGUUUUUAUCUCUCUCCUUCCAUUAAGUACAUUUUCUCUCAUAUUGUCCAUUUUUUCCAGUAAAGGCUUUAUCAUAUAAAUGCCAUUUUAAAACUCUGGUCUCAUAAAUUGAAAACUUUUUCCAUAUGUAAUUCUGAUAUUUUCUGUGUCCUCAAAUAUUGUAUGACUUUUACGUAUGUUGUGACAAAAUAAAAAUUGUGAGAGGUUUUAGAUAUAUAAUUACCAGGGUCAGAGAAUGGAGAAAAGAAAAGGAACAUUAUCAUCAUCGUAUCUGGAAUCCUUAAGCACUGAGCCCCAUCCCUAAUCCUUUUUAGUGUUUUUGUUUGUUUGUUUGUUUGUUUCAUAGAGUAUCUUGCUAAGUUUUUCCCAAGGGCCUGCGUUUCUUGCUGAGGCUGAGCUGAAGCUUGUGAUCCUCCUGCUAUGGCCACUGGGAUCACAGUCAUAUGCUACCAUGCGCAGCUCCUGGAUGUUUCCUGAAACCCUGAUGUGAUCAAAAUGUGCCUUGUUUGUGUCAAGUUUCCAGGUGUCACCAAUUCAGAUACAAGAAUGGCUUCUUCAUAUGUUUCUGUAUAUUAAUGCCCUUCAAUCUCUAAGAUUAUAAAAUGAUGCUGAUCAUAAGAACGUUAAUUCACACCUUCCAAAUUAUUAUUAGUUCAGUUGAAUUCCACUGGAGUUGACUUGGAAAAAAUGUAUUUUAGAUAAUUUAUGUUGAAAGCAGGGGUGGAAGAACUAUUUAAAUAUUUAAGGAAACCAAUUAUUCAGUUCUAUUAAGAGCUCAUGAUAUAAUGAACUUUAAUUAUGCACCAGACACCAGAAAAGCACUUUAGCAGGUUCACAGAGGCUAUCAGAAAUGCCCUGGUGCUCACGUGAGGGUUUUCUAGAGCAGCAAGUGACAUUAAAAAAAAUGAAAGAAACACCUGGGAGGUGUGAGUAGUGCCACCCACACGUGUACACUCACACUCACAUGCACAUACAUGUACAGGAUCAAGUCACCCUUUUCUCUACAUACCCUCCCUAGUGCAAUUCUUUCAUCCUCACUUUGUAAUGCAACUAUUGAUUUCUUUGAUUUUUUCUCAUAAUGUUGCUGCCCACUAUUCCUUCUCAAAAAUCAAUUGUUAUUUCAUGACUUCUCAAUUUAGUCUUGUGUCAUUCAGAAGUUUCAGACACAUUGUGUGUGUUAGUUGAGGCCUCUCCACUCCAGCCUUGUGUACAGAUUGGUGAAAUAUCUCUUCCUUCUUCCUUUUCUCUCUUUGUUAUUUCAGACAUUACCCAGGAGGGCUCCACCACUGAGCUUCACCAAAACCCUGUUGUUAUUUUAUAAGAUAGAGUGAGGCUGGCCUUGAACUUGUGGUCACCCUGCCUCAGCCUCCUAGCAGCUGGGACCAUAGGCAUGUGCCCUUGUGUGCCCUGCAGCUGAUCUCUUCCUUUUCCUUGAUGCCUUAUUGGCCUGCUGAUGACUCUGGGACCACCACUCUGUCACUCAUUAUUUUCUAACUCUCAUGUGUUAUGUUGUAUGUAGGCAUGUUAAAGAGCAUUUUAAAAUCUUUUAGUUUGUAUGUAUUGUUUGGAUAGGCACCUUCUCAAAAUAUACUUUGCCCUAUUAUUAAUGGAGUUGCUUUUUAUUUCUUUUCUUUUCCUCAUUCCAGGGACCCAAUCCUGCCUUGUGCAUGCUAGGCAGGUGCUCUAGCACUGAGCACUCCCCUAGCUCAGGUGGUGAGUUUGCCGCUGCUGUGUGUGUAUACCCCACUACUGUUCACAUCGGCAAAUGCAGCUCUGUAGGUGUAUCCUCAUGUUUGCAGCUUGUCCCAUUUUUUUCUUAAACGUCUUUUACAGCAGUGAAUUUUAAGUCCGACUUUGCUUUUCUCCCCAUGAUUAACCCUUGGGUGGAGUAAGCCAGAAAACCCAGGCUGGAUUUCUCUAAGUGUUUAGGGUACUGUCUUACAUAGGUGACUGCAUGACCAAUAUGAUUCUGCAACAUGCACACUCAGAAAAAUAGAGAUGAUAUCCCAUCUAUGUAUGAUAUAUCAAAGUGCAUAAAUGCAUUCUAUAGUCAUGUAUAAGUAACUGAAAGAAAUAAAAUAAUUUUAAAACAAAACAAAUCCAGGUUCAAUGGCUCAUGCCAGUCAUUCCAAAGGCUCAGGAGGCUGAGGCAGGAGGACUGUGAGCUCAAAGCCAGCCUCAGACCUAGUGAGACAGUAAAUAACUCAGUGAGACCCAGUCUCUAAUAAAGUGCAAACUGUAGUUGUGGAGGUGGCUCAGUGGUUGAAGGCCCCUGAGUUCAAUUUACAGGACAUCCCGUCCCCUUUAAAAAAAAAAAGGAAAGAAAGAAACCUAAGGAAGAGGGGUAUGAUACCAGUCUUGUUGGGCACAGUUUCACACAACUAUAAUUCCAGUGGCCAAGCAGGCUGAGGGAGAGGGAUCACAAACCUAGACAGCUUCAAUUUAGUGAGGCCCUGAGGAACAAACAAGAUUCUGUGUCAAAAUAAAAAUUUUAAAGGUCUAGGAAUGUUGCUCAGUGGUUGUGCUCCCCGGGCUCAAUCCCCAGCAACAAUUAAUAAAGAUAUAAAAAUGGAUUUAGUCUUUCCUCUUCAUUUGCAUUGCUCUCAUCUUCCCAAUGGCUCUAACUGACAACCUGUCCAUGAUCCUUCUUACCCUCCUGGAUAUCCUCCUCCACGCAGCUCUCUAUUUCCUGGUGUGUAGGCUGUCCCUCACUGAUCUGUGUGACAUCUCUUUAUGUUUGCAUCCAUUGGAAUCCCUUUUUUCUGUGGUCAAGUACUUCUUGCUCUCUGCUUUAUGCCCUCGGGGCAGGGAAGAAGGCCUUCUCCCUCUGCAGCACUGCCUCACUGUGAUGAUCUUCCACUCAGCACCCUGUGCUCUCACUUACCCACAGCCAUGAUCCUUCUGGUCUUCAGCAGGGGACAAGAUUCUUCCUGUGUUCCACACCAUGCUCACCCCAAUGCUCUACUCUAUCUUCUAAAGUCUGAGGAACAAGGAGAUGUUGAGGGCCUGAGCAGAUGGACCCAGAGGUCCAUUCUGUGUGAUAUAGAUAAAAGGUCUGCCCCUUUCCCCGGGACUUAGCUUCAAGUCCAUUAAGCAUUGUGUAGGAACCUAAAAUAUUAUUUUAUACCAAGAGUGUGGAGACUAAAAACAAUCUACAAUAUAAAUAAACUGCUCAUGUCUGUACAAAAUUGUCUUAUGAAUGUGUGGACUUUCAAUAAUAUUUUAGCAUCCUGCUUCCCUGUGAAACAGAGACAGGACCACACCAGGACCCCACCAUGAGGCACCCCUCAUCCAUGCAGAGAGGAACCCUGGACGGGGGUUCCCUGUUCACCAAAUGGUGGCUCCACAGUUCAACAUCAGACACAUAUAGGCUUGAGGCUGCCACUCCCACAAAACUGGGAUGUCACAGCUUCAAUCAAGGGAUGACAAUAAGGACCCGGUUAGAAGGUCUCCAAUGUCCCUGUGGGCUUUGCUACACCUGUGUCUCCUCUUUGCUAUUACUUUUUACACAGAAUAUCUUUAUAUCUUAGAAUAUUAUUCUUUAAAAGGUGUCUCUUAAUUGUGUUUUCAAAAUUAUGGUUAAAAUUACUUCCCAGUGUAGGGAAUAGUAUAGAAAUCUUACAAUGUUUCAUGGACUAUAGGUCCAGUUACAGAAUGUAUAUAAUACCAAUGAGUUUCUAACAAUGUUUAUAAGUUUUAUUGCUCAAAAGUAACAUAUGGCUUUAAUGUGGAGAACAUUUUGAAUAAGACAUUUUCCCAAAUCCCUCAAACAUCCAAUGAACAGAAAAGAUAUUCAAGAAUCAGCAGCAAUCAUUGCAAUUACUGAUAUCUUUGAAUCAAUCAAAUUUACUCUCCAAUUAGAAGUGUCAGAAUUGGAAUUUAAGUCAGCAUUUUAAAACACUUAUUGUUUGAUCAAGGUUGUAUAAAUUUGAUUCAUUAUAAAUUGGUCCUUGAUCAAACAGCACAAAUUGUAGGUAUAAGCUUAAUAUUUUAAUAAGCUCUGUCAUGACAGUAUGUGGAGAAAAAGCUUACAUCAGCAUAAUAAAAUCAGGGAAAUAGGCUAAAAUAUCCUAGAAUUGAUUGUUCAAAUAUAUAUAUAUAUAGUCAGUCCAGUUAUACAUAAAUCUUUUUCGCAAUUGUUUUGACCUUUUCAUGUCAUCUGUCUAGAUAAUUAUAUUAACACUUUCCUAUUUACGAAAACCAACUCAUCAUGAAAAUUUAGAAUAUAAAUACCUUUUCAUUUACCUGAAGAUGAUUUCUUUCUUCUUAGGACCUCCUAGUAGAGAUCCUUUUAUUUCUGUCACUUAGGGCUGGAUAAUCAUACUAGCAAAUGUGUGUGUUUCCUCUCUGUAGAAACAUCUUCCUUUUCUUCUCUAGAAAUCUUUUUGUUUUACUUUGGAACAAUUUUUAUAAAUCUUAGAGUCUAAGCAAAUUACUUAUUGUACCUUGAUAAGAAGUGUCUCAGUGAAAAUAUAGUUAAAGCUGUUGGACAUUUUUGUUGACAGAAUCAUAUCUAUUUGUCAUCUUAUAAAAAUUGGUACAGUAAUUUGACAAUUAGAUUAAUUGAUAGUUGUAUAGCUCUUGAAAUAGAUAUUUUAUAAUAAAAUACAUUCAUCUUAAAUAUCUGUACUAUAAAAUGCAGAGCAUGAGAUAAAUGCAUGUAUAAGAAAUAUAACUUAAGUGUUUUCUGUUGAAAAACGAUUAGAAGCAAAUAGAUACAUAUUAAUUAAAAAAUCAGACAUAUAUGUCAAUUAUUUUAAGAAUUAAGGACUCUAGAUUAUCCAAAUAACUGGAAAGAUAUGAUUUGUAAUAAAAAUAUAACUUACUGUUAUAUAACCAUGGAAUUUUAAAGUGAGCCUCAUUAAAUCAUGUGGCUCUUAAAAGUAUUUGGGCCCAUUUAUUUUACUUUGGUAGUGCACUCAUUCUAUUUGUGACGUCACGUGAUGUGGUUAAAAAAAUUCUUGUGUAUACAUUUGUUUGUUUAUUGUAAUUACGUAGUCAGGAAUGAGAAGAAGGAUUUCUUGGUCAUCACAGAAACGUUGUGAAAAAAGAUCUCAGAUGCUGGCUUUUAUGUCUGCGGGGUGCAAAACGCAUUCCCAUCGUCUCCAAAAUUGUAAGAAGCCUAUGUUUGUGAUCUCUCAUCAACCGAACAUUAGUUAGUAAUAUUACCAUGAAGAGCAAAAAGAAGCAUUGUAAAUGAAGCUGUACACACACACACACACACACACACAGUUAUUUAGCUUCAGAGCGAGUCAGGCUGAGAGCUGCAAUUGAGAAGCCUGUGGAGUCAGAUUUUGUCUGAAAGAGAUCUUUUGUAUUUGAUGUGCGCAUUCUGAAAAAUGCAGGCUCCUUGCAGCUCCAGUGUCUGACCUCAGUGAAGCAGGAAGGACAGGUCAGUGGCUGGGAGGCGGGACCAGAAGCCCUCCCUGGGUGACCAAUGGGAACCCCUGGGAAAGGCCUGUGAAUACUGCUGCAGAUAGAGUAGAGGGGACUCACCCUUACAGAUGGGAGAACCCUUUCACCAGGGUUACAGGAGGAACUCCUAUACUGCCACAGAUAGGGUACAGGAGUUUGCCCCUGCAGGCUGGAGACCCCUCCCACCUGGGUGUCCUGGGAGCUCUUAUAGGACAGCAGCCAAAGUAGAGGAGACACACCCCUCCAGGCGGGAGACCCCUCCCACCUGUGUGUCAGGGGGAAGUUGUAUAUAGCCCUAGCCAGGGAGAGGGGGAUUUCCCCUUCAUGCGGGAGACACUUACCACCUGGGUGUCUGGGGGAGCUUUUAUACCGCUGAAGCCAGGGUACAGGAAACUUGUUGCUCCAGGCGGGAGGCCCCUCCCACCUGGUUGUCUGGGGCACCUAGAAUACCGCUGCAGCCAGGGAGAUCCCUCCCACCGGAGUGUUGCCCGGGAGCUCAUAUACCAUCACAGUGAGGGCAGAGGGUUUCACCCAUGCAGGCGGGUACCCCUCUUACCUGGGUGUCCAGGGAACUUUGAUAGGGCACCAGACAACGUAGAGGGGCUCGCCUUUCCAGGCGGGAGACCCCUCCAACCUGGGUUUCCAGGGGAGCUUGUAUACCACCUUAGCCAGGGUAGAAGGUACUUGCCCAACCAUGUGGAAGACCCCUCUUACCUGGGUGUCUGAGGGAGCUUAUAUACCACCGCAGCCAGUGUAGAGGGGACUCCUAACACCCACUUAGUUGUUGGUGGAGCUCAUAUACUGCUGCAGCCAGGGGAGAGGGGACUUGCCCCUCUCCAGUCGGGAGAACCCUUCCACCUGGUUGACAAGGGGAGCUUGAAUACCUCUCCAGCCAGGGUAGAGGAAACUCACCCUAUAGGCGGGAGACCCCUCCCACCAGGGUGUCUGGGAAAGCUCCUAUACUGCCACAGCCUGGGUAGAAGGGUUAGCCCCUGCAGGCGGAAGACUCCUCGAACCUGUGUGUCCAGGUAGCCCUUAUAGGGCACCAGCCAAAUUAGAGGCGAUUCAUCCUUCCAGGCGGGAGACCCCUUCCACCUGGGUGUCAGGGGAAACUAGAAUACUGCUGCAGCCAGGGUAGAGGGGACUCACCCCUUUAGUCAAGAGACCCCUCUAACAUGGGUGUUGGUGGAGCACCUAUACCACCACAGCCAGGGUAGUGAAGACUCACCCAUCCAAGGACUCCUUCCCACCUGGGUGUUGUGGGGAGUUUAUAUUGAACCUUAGCCAGGUUAGAGGAGAAUUGCCCCUCCAGGAGGCUGACGCCUCCCACCUGGUUGUCAGGGCGAGCUCUAAUACCACCAAAACUAGGGUAGAGGGUACUUGCCUCACCAGGCAGGAGACCCCUACAACCAGGUGUCAGGAGCAGCUCAUAUAGUGCAGCAGGCAGGGUAGAAGGGACUCAACUCUCUGGGGGGGAGACCCCUCCCACUUCGGUGUCCAAGGGGGCUCCUACACCCCCAUAGCUAGGGUAGAGGGGACUCGCCCCUCCAGGCGGGAGACCUUUGCACAUGGGUGUGUGUGGGUGCUCCUAUACCGCUGCAGCCAGGGUUGUGGGGACUCGCUUCUCCAUGCAGGAGACCCCUUCCCACUUGAGUGUCAUGGGGAGCAUGUGUACUACCUUAGCCAGGUUAGAAGGGACUCACCCAUCUAGUCUGGGGACCCCUCUCAUAUUGUCUGGGGGAGCAUGUAUUCUGCUGAAACAAGGGUAGAGGGGACUCUCCCCUCCAGGAAGGAGACCCCUCUCACCUGCGUGUUGGGGAGAUCAAUUACCACUGUAGCCAGGGUAGAGGAGACUCGCCCCUCCAGGCGGGAGACCCCUUCCACCUGGGUGACAGGGGGAGCUCCUAUACCAGGGUAGAGCAGAUUCCCUGCAUGAGGUGAAAACCCCUCUCACCUGGGUGUCAGGAGAGCUCUAUUCCCGCCAAAGCCAUGAUAGAGGAAACUCGCCCUUCCAGGUGGGAGACCCUUCCCACCAGGGUGUCAGGGGGAGUUCUUAUACCUCUGCAGCCAGGGUAGAGGGGACUUGCUCCUCCAGGCGAGAGACCCCUCCCACAUUUGUGUCAGGUCGAGCUUGUAUUAUGCCUUUGCCAGGGUAUAGGGGACUCACCCCUCCAGGCGGAAGACCCCUCCUACCUGGGUGUUUCUGGGUGGGGGAUAGUAUACAACUACAGCCGGGUUGCUGGGACUGGCUCCUCAAGGCGGGAGAAAACUUUCACCUGGGUGUCAGAGGGAAUCCGUAUCCUGCUGUAGCCAGGAUAGAGGGGACUCACCCUUUCAAGAGGAGACCCCUCUCAUCUGGGUAUGGGGGGGGCAGCUCGUAUACCAUCACAGCCAGUGUAGAGGGGACCCACCCCUGGACGCGGGAGACCCCUCCCACCUGGUUAUCCCAGGAACUCUUAUAAGGCACCAGCCAAAGUAGAGGGGACUCUUUUCCUCCAUGUGGGUGUCAGGGGGAGCUCAUAUGCCACUACAGCCAGGAGAGUGGGGACUCGCCCCUACAAGUGGGAGACCCCUCCCACCUCGGUGUCUGUCAGUGCUCCUAUACCUCCAUAGCCAGGGUAGAGGGGAUUCUCCCCUCCGCUCAGGUGACCCAUCCCACCUGGAUGUUGGGGGAAGCUGGAAAAACUCUUCAGAGUACAGGUGACUCACCCCUACAGGAGGGAAACUCGUCCCACCUUAGUGUUGGGGGGAGCUCCUAUACUGCCAUAGCCAGUGUAGAGGGACUCGCCUCUCUAAGCAGGAGAGCCCUCCAACCUGGAUGUUCCUGGAAAUCUUAUAUAGCACCAGCCAGGGUAGAGGGGACUCGCGACUAGAGCUGGAGACCCUUCUCAUUUGAGUGUGUGUUUGGGGGGUGCUUGCAUACUGCCUUAGCCAGGGUAGAGGUGACUUACUGCUCCAGGCGAAAGCCCCCUCCUACCUGGGUGUCUGGGAGAGCAUGUACACAGCAGCAACCAUGGUAGAGGGGACUCUACCCUACAGCCUGGAUACCGCUCCCACUGGAGUGUCAGGGGAGCUCCUUUACCGUCACAGCCAUGGUAGAGUGGAUUCACCCCUCCAAGCGGGAGACGUCUCCCACUUAGGAGUAGGGUUGCGGGGGCUAUAUCCCGCCCAAGCCAGGGUUAAAGGGACUAGCCCCUCCAUGAGGGAGACCCUUCCAAUUUGGGGGUCUAGGUGUUGCUCAUAUACCCCUGAAUUCAGGGUAGAGGGGACUCGCCCUUCUAAGUGUGACACCCCUCCCAACUGGGUGUCAUGGGAGCUCAUAUACCACUGCAGGUAGGUUAAAGUGGACUCGCCCCUCCAGGCAAGAGACCCCUCCCAUCUGAGUAUGGGGGGGGGCUUGUAUACCACAGUAGCCAGGGUAGAGCGGACUUGCCCCUCCAGGUGGGAGACUCCUCCCACCUGGGUGUCUCUUACACUGCUGAAGCCAAGAAAGAGUGAACUCGCCCCUGCAGGCGGGAGACCCCUGCCUCCUGGGUGUCCGGGUGCUUGUAUACUGCAUUAGCCAGGGUGGAGGGUACUAGCUCUUCCAGGCAGGAAACCCCUCCCAUCUUGCUAUGAGGGGGGAUCUGGUGUACAGCUGCAGCCAGGAAAGAGGGGACUCGCCCCACUAGGUGACAGACUCCUAAACCCUGGUUGUGAGGGGAGCUCAUAUACCACAGAGGCAGGGAAAAGGGGACUCGCCACUCCAGGCGGGAUACCCCACUUAACUGAAUGUGGGGUGAGCACUUAUACAACUACAGCCAGGGUAGUGGGGACUCACCCCUCCAGAAAGGAAACCCCUCCCACCUGGGUGUUGUGGGGAGCUUGUAUACCACCUGAGCCAGGGUAGAGUGGACUCCCUACUGCAGGCGGGAGACCCUUCCCACCAGGGUGUCAGGAGGGAGCUCCUAUACUGUCGAAGCCAGGGUAUAGUGUAUAUGUCACUGAGGCAAGAGAUCCAUCCCACCUGGGUGAUAAAGGGAGCUCUUAUAUAGUUGUAGCCAGGAUACAGGGACUUACUCCUCCAAGCUGGAGAUGCCUCUCACCUGGGUGUUGGAGGGGGCUAGUAUACCCCCACAGCCAGGAUAGAGGGAACUCACCCCUCCAGGCUGGAGACCCCUCCCACCUGUGUGGCAGGGUGGGGGAACUCUUAUACUACUGCAGCCAGGGUAGUGGAUACUCGCCCCUCUGACAGGAAACCCUUUCCACCUGGGUGUUGUGGGGAGCUUGUAUACCACCUUAGCCAUGGUAGAGAAGACUCGACCCUCCUGGCAGGAGAACCUUCACUCUGGGGUGUCUGGGAGAGCUCUUAUACCACAGCAGCCAGGGUAGAGGGGAAUCGCCCCUCCAGGCAGAAGACCCCUCCCAACUAGGUGUCCGGUUGGGGGGCUCAUAUACAGCUCUAGCUAGGGUAGAGGGGACUCACCCCUCCAGGAAGGAGAUCCCUCCCACCUGGUUGUGUCAGAGAGCUUGUAUACCAAUUUAGCCAGGGUAGAAGGGAUUGGAGGUGUGAAUUCCUUCUACCCUGGCUGUGGUAGUAUAUGGGAAAAAAGGGGAGUUAGGGGAAUUGGUGGUGCAGGGAGAGGAGGGCUCAUGGCCCAGAUUCACUUCAGGGUGUCAGAACUGAGAAGCAGGGCCCAGGAUGAAGGAGGACAAAGUGCCCAGGCAAGGGGCACUGCUACCUUUUCCCAAAGGAAGACUGCAGGAGCAAAUAUCCCAGUUCCAUUCUUUGGCUGUGAUGAGCAUCCUGGGAAAGGGUUCUGGAAAAAGAGCCCCGUAGGGACAAGGACAACAAGAGGGCCAAAGGAGGGCACAGCGUGAAGUGCUGGAAGAAGGGUGGUUUGUGGAAUGCAGGUCAAGACUGCAGAAAGGAGCCCAGGCUAAAGAUCAGAGGAGGGCCGAGGGUAAGGGAGAGCAGGGAAGGGCGGUGUCCAGCAGGCAGGUGCUGCACUAGGGUUCUGAGAUGCAGGGAACAUUAGGGGAACAGGGAAGUGGUCCCAGAGAGGCCCACAGUUCAAAUCUAGGGAAGCAUGGAGCAAGAAGGACCCCCAGAGGCUCAAGAGAGGAGCCAGUCCAGGGAAUAGAGAGCCAAGGGCCAGCACUGGGGCAGGGGUCUCAGAAUAGUGGACAGGACAGGGGUCUCAGAAUAUUGGACAGGGCUCAGGAGGGAAGAAAGGGGAUCCAACAGGGUAGAGGCAAACUCAAUGCCCAAUGCCACUGCCAGGUGUCAGUUUUCCUAGUGCUGCCCCAAGGGCCUAGGGAGAGCAAGUAGUCCAGUCUAGGGUCAGGGUUCUGUUUCUCAAAAGACACCCUGACCCAGAUGAGGAUCAAGGGCCACGGACCAUGCCAAACAGCUUUGCAAGGGCUAGGGGCCAGGAUGAGUGCCAUGUGAGGGCACAGUGUGGGGUCGCGGUGGGUGCAGAGAGGAGUAAGAGUCAGGACCCAAUCAAGGAGCCCAUGUAAGGGACCAUCCCCACCAAAAGGUAUUAAAGACCCAAUGAGCAGGAAGAACCUGCUCCAGGAAAGAGCGCUAGGGGAAAGAGACGUAGUAUCAGUGCUAGGAUGAGGAGAGAAAGGGCUGUGAAAAGGGCACAGAGGAAAGCAAGCUUGGGGGCUAAAUCAAGGGGUACCCUGGUCAGACAUGACAGGAAGAGACAACACAGAAUGCAACCCAACCCACAUAAUGCAGUAAGGAGCUCAGGCUGGUAGCCAGGCCAGGGGACUGUAGGGCAAAGGUUCAGGGUGAGGAAGAGCUGGGUUGGCUUAGGGCCAGCUUGCAAGGCUAGAGGGCAGGAGAGGGAAGGGAGGGGAUCACCCAGUGUAAGGUUAUCACUAGGACCAAGUCCAAUGCCAGUUGUCAAGUUUAGACGGCAAAGGGGGCCUAGGCUAGAGGCAGGACUGUGUUGCCCAUAGGGAUCCUUCAGGGCCCAGAGGCCAGCCAAUUUUACUCCUCUGCCAGGACCAAAGAAGGGCAAUAUGAGGGGUACCUUUGUUCCAGGAUUGGGGGUUGUUGGUAAGGAGCCAGCAAACAUUGGAGGAGACAAGGCUAGGGAGAAACAGCGGGAGGACAGGGUCCUGUCAAGGAUGAAAUACCACAGUACCAGGGGAAGAGAUGAGAGGAAGAGGAUGGGGCCAAGCAAGGGGCCUGAAAUCUAGGAAGAGGGACAGGGUCCUCAAGAAGUGCAAUCAGGGCCUCCUGUAAGGAGCCAGACCUAAGAAUGGGGAGCCAAGGGCCGGGACCCAGUCCUGGGUACUAUGGAAACAUACAGGGCUGGGGAGGGGAGAAGAGGGAGCAACAGUUGUGGGUGGCGCAAGGAAGGAGGGCUCAAGUCCCAGGUUUACUGCUUGGUGUCAGGUUCGAGGAGCAGGGCCUGGACAGAGAAUCCAAAGUCCCAGGUAAGGGGCACAACUACGUUUUCUCAAAGGGAGCCCACAGGGCCAAAUGCCCAGUUCCUUUCCCCUAGACCUGGUGAGCACCCUGGGAAAGGGAUCUUGAAAAGGGGCCCAGCAGAGACAGGGACAACAGGAGGGAUGAAGGUGGGUACUGUUGGGAAAACAUAUAACGGCGGCAGCACACCAGGAAAAAAACCCAACAUGGCACCUAACGACCUUCUUUCUCCUUUUUUUUUCCUUCCACUAGCGCGAAACGUUCCUGCAGGCGCCAAUGUUCAAACCCUGCUGGUGGGAAGCCUUAGCCCCAAAAAGAAUUAACUUCUUGGGCUCCGGAACUGACAUAUGGAAGAGCUUGCCAAUAAACGGGCAACCUGUUAUCUACCCCAGCCCUGCUACCUCUCCUUAGACCUAUAUAAAC
rnacentral:lncRNA from 1 species